UACGAAGGGGGCUAGCGUUGUUCGGAAUCACUGGGCGUAAAGGGCGCGUAGGCGGUUGUUUAAGUUUGGUGUGAAAUCUCCCGGCUCAACUGGGAGGGUGCGCCGAAUACUGAAUGACUAGAGUGCGGGAGAGGAUAGUGGAAUUCCUGGUGUAGCGGUGAAAUGCGUAGAGAUGUGGAGGAACACCAGUGGCGAAGGCGGCUUUCUGGUCUGUAACUGACGCUGAGGCGCGAAAGCGUGGGGAGCAAACAGG
rnacentral:rRNA from 1 species